rnacentral:rRNA from 1 species
CGGACGGGUGAGUAACGCGUGAGAACCUACCUUCAGAAUGGGGAUAACAGGGGAAACGACUGCUAAUACCCGAUGUGCCGAGAGGUGAAAGAUUUAUCGUCUGAAGAAGGGCUCGCGGCUGAUUAGCUAGUUGGUAAGGUAAAGGCUUACCAAGGCGACGAUCAGUAACUGGUCUGAGAGGAUGAGCAGUCACACUGGAACUGAGAAACGGUCCAGACUCCUACGGGAGGCAGCAGUGGGGAAUUUUCCGCAAUGGGCGAAAGCCUGACGGAGCAAUACCGCGUGAGGGAGGAAGGUUUUUGGAUUGUAAACCUCCUUUCUAGGGGAAUAAAAAAAUGAAGGUACCCUAGGAAUAAGCAUCGGCUAACUCCGUGCCAGCAGCCGCGGUAAUACGGAGGAUGCAAGCGUUAUCCGGAAUUAUUGGGCGUAAAGAGUCCGUAGGUGGAAGUUCAAGUCUGUCGUUAAAGAAUGGAGCUUAACUCCAUAAAGGCGGUGGAAACUGAGCAACUAGAGUGCGGUAGGGGUAACGGGAAUUCCCAGUGUAGCGGUGAAAUGCGUAGAUAUUGGGAAGAACAUCGGUGGCGAAAGCGCGUUACUGGGCCGAAACUGACACUGAGGGACGAAAGCUAGGGUAGCGAAAGGGAUUAGAUACCCCUGUAGUC